rnacentral:tRNA from 1 species
GGACCAUUGGCGCAAUGGCUAGCGUGUUCGAUUCCAGUCCGAAAGGUACGGGCCUAAAAUUGGUUCAAAAUUCACUCCGCGGAAUACUGAUUCAUAGACUAGGUUGUCUGUUCGAGUCAGACAUGGUUCA